rnacentral:rRNA from 1 species
AUACGUAGGUGGCAAGCGUUGUCCGGAAUUACUGGGCGUAAAGGAUGCGUAGGCGGCCUCUUAAGUGGGAUGUGAAAUGCCGGGGCUUAACCCCGGAGGUGCAUUCCAUACUGGGAGGCUAGAGUGCAGGAGAGGAAAGCGGAAUUCCCAGUGUAGCGGUGAAAUGCGUAGAGAUUGGGAGGAACACCAGUGGCGAAGGCGGCUUUCUGGACUGUAACUGACGCUGAGGCAUGAAAGUGUGGGGAGCAAACAGGAUUAGAUACCCUGGUAGUCCACACCGUAAACGAUGUGCACUAGGUGCUGGUACGGAUGUAUCAGUGCCGUAGCUAACGUGAUAAGUGCACCGCCUGGGGAGUACGAUCGCAAGGUUGAA